rnacentral:rRNA from 1 species
AUACGUAGGUGGCAAGCGUUAUCCGGAUUUACUGGGUGUACAGGGCGUGUAGGCGGUAUACCAAGUCAGAUGUGAAAUCUCCCGGCUCAACCGGGAGCGUGCAUCUGAAACUGGUACACUUGAGUGCUGGAGGGGAAAGCGGAAUUCCGAGUGUAGCGGUAAAAUGCGUAGAUAUUCGGAGGAACACCGAUUGCGAAGGCGGCCUAAGUGGUUUUAGCUGACGUUUAGGCGCGACAGAGUGGGUAGCAAACAGGAGUAGAUACCGCAGUAGUCCACUCUGUAACCGAUGAUUGCUAGGUGUGGUGGGACUCCCCCCGUGCAUGCCUUAGGUAAAGUAAUUAGCAAUACAGCUGGGGAGUACGGCCGCAACGCUAAUACUGAAAGGAGUUGACGGGG